rnacentral:rRNA from 1 species
AGGUUACUGCUAUCGAGGUUCGACUAAGCCAUGCGAGUCGAAUGUAGCAAUACAUGGCGUACUGCUCAGUAACACGUGGACAACCUACCCUUGGGACGGGGAUAAACCCGGGAAACUGGGUAUAAUACCCGAUAGAUCUCGGAAGCUGGAAUGCAUCGAGAUCGAAAGCUCCGGUGCCCAAGGAUGGGUCUGCGGCCUAUCAGGUAGUAGUGGGUGUAGCGUACCUACUAGCCUACGACGGGUACGGGUUGUGAGAGCAAGAGCCCGGAGAUGGAUUCUGAGACACGAAUCCAGGCCCUACGGGGUGCAGCAGGCGCGAAAACUUUACAAUGCCGGCAACGGCGAUAAGGGGACCUCGAGUGCCAGGUUACAAAUCUGGCUGUCGUAAUGCCUAAAAAGCAUUUCAUAGCAAGGGCCGGGCAAGACCGGUGCCAGCCGCCGCGGUAACACCGGCGGCUCGAGUGGUAACCGUUAUUAUUGGGUCUAAAGGGUCUGUAGCCGGCCGGAUAAGUCUCUUGGGAAAUCUGGCAGCUUAACUGUCAGGCUUUCAGGGGAUACUGUCUGGCUCGAGGCCGGGAGAGGUGAGAGGUACUUCAGGGGUAGGGGUGAAAUCUUGUAAUCCUUGAAGGACCACCAGUGGCGAAGGCGUCUCACCAGAACGGACCUGACGGCAAGGGACGAAAGCUAGGGGCACGAACCGGAUUAGAUACCCGGGUAGUCCUAGCCGUAAACGAUACUCGCUAGGUGUCGGCCACGGUGCGACCGUGGUCGGUGCCGUAGGGAAGCCGUGAAGCGAGCCACCUGGGAAGUACGGCCGCAAGGCUGAAACUUAAAGGAAU